rnacentral:rRNA from 1 species
UAACGUCACAGCUAGCAGUUAUUAACUACUAACCUUUCCUCCUCGCUGAAAGUGCUUUACAACCCGAAGGCCUUCUUCACACACGCGGCAUGGCUGCAUCAGGCUUUCGCCCAUUGUGCAAUAUUCCCCACUGCUGCCUCCCGUAGGAGUCUGGGCCGUGUCUCAGUCCCAGUGUGGCUGAUCAUCCUCUCAAACCAGCUAGAGAUCGUCGCCUUGGUAAGCCAUUACCUUACCAACUAGCUAAUCUCACUUGGGCUAAUCAAUGAGCGAGAGGUGCCGAAGCGU